AAAGAGCAAUAACAGGUCUGUGAUGCCCUUCGAUGUCCGGGGCUGCACGCGCGCUACAAUGAAAGCGUCAACGUGAGUUACGUCCUUACCUGAAAAGGUUUGGCAAUCGAAUGAAACGUUUUCUUGAAUGGAAUAGGGAAUUGCAAUUGUUUCCCUUGAACGAGGAAUUCCCAGUAAGCGUGAGUCAUUAGCUCGCGUUGAUUACGUCCCUGCCCUUUGUACACACCGCCCGUCGCUACUACCGAUUGGAUGAUUUAGUGAGGUGUUUUGACUGGCGCCAGUAGUCGGAUGUAUUCGGCUUCGCGCCGGGAAAUUUCCCAAACCAAAUCAUCUAGAGGAAGUAAAAGUCGUAACAAGGUUUCCGUAGGUGAACCUGCGGAAGGAUCAUCG
rnacentral:ncRNA from 1 species